rnacentral:tRNA from 1 species
GUUACGGUACACAAGUGGUCAAAGUGGUUGGCUUUAGGCGCCAAUGCCCUCAGGGCUUCGUGCGUUCAAACCGCACCCGUAGCA